UGAGGAAUAUUGCACAAUGGGGGAAACCCGUGAUGCAGCAACGCCGCGUGGAGGAUGACGCAUUUCGGUGUGUAAACUCCUUUUAUGAGUCAAGAAAAUGACGGUAGCUCAUGAAUAAGCACCGGCUAACUCCGUGCCAGCAGCCGCGGUAAUACGGAGGGUGCAAGCGUUACUCGGAAUCACUGGGCGUAAAGGACGCGUAGGCGGGUUGUCAAGUCAGAUGUGAAAUCCUACAGCUUAACUGUAGAACUGCAUUUGAAACUGGCAACCUAGAGUAUGGGAGGGGGAGAUGGAAUUAGUGGUGUAGGGGUAAAAUCCGUAGAUAUCACUAGGAAUACCGAAAGCGAAGGCGAUCUCCUGGAACAUAACUGACGCUAAGGCGUGAAAGCGUGGGGAGCAAACG
rnacentral:rRNA from 1 species